rnacentral:rRNA from 1 species
UACGGAGGGUGCAAACGUUGCUCGGAAUCAUUGGGCGUAAAGCGCACGUAGGCGGCUCGUUAAGUCGGAUGUGAAAGCCCCGGGCUCAACUCGGGAAGUGCAUUCGAAACUGGCGAGCUUGAAUAUGGAAGAGGGUCGCGGAAUUCCCGGUGUAGAGGUGAAAUUCGUAGAUAUCGGGAGGAACACCAGUGGCGAAGGCGGCGACCUGGGC